GUCUUUUACCUUGUUUCCCAAACCAUUGGAUAUCAGGGCUUGUUUUAUGGCUCUCACUCUUCCAUCCAUCAUGUCAGAGGGAGCGAUGAUGUGACAGCCUGCAGAACAACACAUGACCAAGGUCCAGUGUUUCGCUCUGGGUCCGCCCUGCCUGACUGCUUUUAUCUGAAGACAACACCCUCAGCUGCAGGGUGACACCAUGUGUUUCAUGUGACUUCUACUUUAAUCCCCCCAGUCAAUGCCUUGCGAUUAGAAAUGUGUUAAAUAGCUCAGAAAAAAAGAAGGUGCUUUGUUGUUAGGAUCUGAACCUGACAGCUUGCAGUUAUGGGAUGGCUAAGAUAAGAUUUGUUGCUAUGAUUCUUACCUGGCCUGUCCUGGCAGGCUGCCAAUGGGCUCCACUGCAUCUGCACUGUCUCUGUAGGAGAGAGUGACAAAGAACCAAGACUGAGAUAAUUUAAGCUUAAUGUCAGAAAUAUUGUACUUGUGGUGAAAACAACCAAAUAAUCAGUGGCAAAUCAUUUCUCUGAUCUCUGCGAAAUCAAACGUCUCUACACUCAUUUUAUUUGCCCUUUCAUAUCACUGUAAUUUAAAUACAUUUGUAGGUAACAGAGGUAUUUCACUUACGUAAUGAAGAUUGGGUAGAUGAGAUUGUCAGGUCUUAAAUCGGCGACACAUGUCUGCCAGUAACGGAGGGUCGGGUGGAAAUAGCCGCUGUGGAUGAUCGACUCCGCUGGUGUCUGCAUCUUUACCCUGAGAACAAGAGACCAUAAGUGACACGACACAGACAGUGGCACAGGAAAGGUCAGGUUUACGAGCAGAGCCAAAACACCGCUUUCGCAGUCUUGUGCUUCAUCUCAGUUCAGUCACCGUUAAAACUGACCAGGCAUGCGUGAUGCUGCUUCUCUAAACAGUGGCUUGGCUCCGUCUCAUUGCAGAGUAAGCAGGCUACAGGUUUUCAAACUCUGUUAAAUAAGAACUCUUUAUCUGAACGUUUCACCAUUUUCUCCUCCAUGCACGUGUUUUCUGAGCAUCCAUGACAUUACAUUCCUCCACUUUCUUUUGCACAGCAAGUUUCCUUUUCGUGAAUUAUGAAUAAGGGACCAUACGGCUGGAAGAUACUCAAUAUUAUUAAAUGGUUUUGUUUAUUCAGUAAAUAAGAUUGUGAUUAUUAUGUUAUGAUGUCACAAAUUCCUGUCGUUGAUUUUAUUUUUUUUUUUAUAGCAAGA